rnacentral:lncRNA from 1 species
CGGACCUCAAGUCCGGAUAUAUUUCUAGCAUAUAGCCUGCGGAUCUCAUGUCCGGAUAUUUUUCGAGCAUAUAGCCUGCGGACCUCAUGUCCGGAUAUUUUCAAUCUCAUACACAUUUGAUCAUAACACAUGACAGUCACCUUAUCACUUAAUAGUCGUAUAUUACAUUCGAAUAUAAACUCGAUACGCACAUCAUCAUUCACAUUUCAGCUCAGUGGUUAUAUCUCAUAUCACUCAUUCUAUUCAUCAUUUAAUCU